AGUAUUAGGUAAGAUCGUUACAAACAUGAAAACCUUUAUUAUUUUUGCCUGCUUUACUUUUGUAUUGUCCUUUGCCGAAAUGGAAAAUACUGAAGAUUUAACGAAAGUAUAUUGUUCGUCGUCGGAACAGUUAAAAAUACGUGUCUGCGUAAUA